UAGGGAAUCUUCGGCAAUGGACGAAAGUCUGACCGAGCAACGCCGCGUGAGUGAAGAAGGUUUUCGGAUCGUAAAACUCUGUUGUUAGAGAAGAACAAGGACGUUAGUAACUGAACGUCCCCUGACGGUAUCUAACCAGAAAGCCACGGCUAACUACGUGCCAGCAGCCGCGGUAAUACGUAGGUGGCAAGCGUUGUCCGGAUUUAUUGGGCGUAAAGCGAGCGCAGGCGGUUUCUUAAGUCUGAUGUGAAAGCCCCCGGCUCAACCGGGGAGGGUCAUGGGAAACUGGGAGACUUGAGUGCAGAAGAGGAGAGUGGAAUUCCAUGUGUAGCGGUGAAAUGCGUAGAUAUAUGGAGGAACACCAGUGGCGAAGGCGGCUCUCUGGUCUGUAACUGACGCUGAGGCGCGAAAGCGUGGGGAGCAAACAGG
rnacentral:rRNA from 2 species